rnacentral:rRNA from 1 species
AGCGAACGCUGGCGGCAGGCUUAACACAUGCAAGUCGAACGGGCGUAGCAAUACGUCAGUGGCAGACGGGUGAGUAACGCGUGGGAACGUACCUUUUGGUUCGGAACAACCCAGGGAAACUUGGGCUAAUACCGGAUAAGCCCUUACGGGGAAAGAUUUAUCGCCGAAAGAUCGGCCCGCGUCUGAUUAGCUAGUUGGUGUGGUAACGGCGCACCAAGGCGACGAUCAGUAGCUGGUCUGAGAGGAUGAUCAGCCACAUUGGGACUGAGACACGGCCC